ensembl:lncRNA
AUGGCAACAGAAAUGAAUAUUAAAAACUUAAAUAUUAAAAAUGAAAGAAGUACAAAUAACUUGUUAAAUAAGUUAAUAAAAGAAAAUGAUGAUUAUAAAACGAAAAUAAAUGAAAAAGAUGAAAAAAUAAUAAGUUUGAAUAAUGAAAUAAAAAACAUUAAACAAAAUAUCAUACAAUUGGAAAAUGAAUUGACAAAACAGAAAGAUGAAAACUUAAAUAAAAUAAAAAUUAUUGAAAAUUUAAAAAACAAAAUACAUAAAAAAGAUGUAACACAAAAUGAUAAAAAUGAUAAAAAUAAUAGUACUGACCAAUUAUUAAAAAAUAGCAAUUAUAUAAAAAAAUUAUAUAAUGAAAAUAAUAUACUAAAAGAUAAAAUAAAAAAAUUAAAUAGUUUAACUAAAAGGCAAUGUAGUAGUUCUUUAAAUCCACUUCCAAAUAUAUUAGACAAAAAAGAAUUUUCAAAAACUGAUUUGGUUGAUAAUAAAGCGGGCGCAAAAGAAAAUGAUCAAUCUGAAAAGGCUAAUUUUUAUUUUAAUGCUUUUUUAAAUGCCGAACAAACAAUAUAUACAGCUGAUAUAGUUAUAAACACACAGAAAGAAAUUAUUGCAAAAAUUAAGAAAGAUCACAAUGAUUAUUUAGAAGAAUUUCAAAAAAGCAAAGAUGUUUUUAAAAAGGAAAUAGAAAAAUCUUUAGAUUUUAUAUAUUCAGUAUGCGAAGAUAUAAAAACGAAAAAAGAAAAGAUUUGUCUAACUAAUAGGAUAAAUAAAUUACAUGAAAACAUAAAUAAUUUUUUAUAUAAAUUUGAAAAGGAAUUGUAAAAAGCUUAUAAAAGAAUGGUCAACUUUUAAAUUUUGAUAUUUUUUUUAAAAAUGUUUGAAAUUAACCAAGUUACAAAAAAAGUAAAAGAAAUUAUUUAAUAAAAUAAAAACUCAUAAUUUUUUGCCUAAGUGG